UAAAAUUAAAAAAAUUAAUUAGUUCAAAUGCGUCGGAAGUCGUAAAUAAAUUAAAUUCUAGAAGUGUGUAGAUGGUUUCUUAUUAUGUGAAUUAUUUGUUUGUGUGGUGUUUAUUAUCAGAAAUAGAGAAAGAAUAAAAGAAAAGAAGGAAAUGAAAUAGAGAAUAAGAAAAAGAGGAGGUUGGAAGGGUGAAAGAUUUUUAUCUCUACUCCCUUCUAGAACCCACGUAACAAAAAAAUCAUCUCCCACCCCCAUUCUACAUUUUUUUUCACUCUCUUUUGCACAAAGGCACACACUCUAGUACGCAAGGUGAGAACUCUCCCUUCGGACGAUUCGCUGCUCCUCCGGCGACAGCGAGGAAGCUCCCCUCAUCUCCUCCCUGUCUGGAUACCUCUCUACUCACCUACACUCAUCACCAUCUCUCUCCGCUGAAUUGUCGUCGUUGUCGACUGCUCGGCAGUUUCCGUCGCCGGUUUUCGACAAUAUUAGAGUAGACUUGUCUUCCCUUUGAGUAAUCCUGGCCUGAGGGAUAGCACGGGCAAGGAGAAGGCGAAUGAGUAAAGUGAUCUAGUACGACAUUUUGGAUUUUAAGAUUAGGUGAUCAGACUAGCUCUUUUGCUGUACAGCUGCUCAAGUCGGGUCACUAGCCAAGCUUUUGCGUUGGGUAAAUCUUUUGGAUUUGAUAAAUGUGGCAUGUAGUAGGAGUGUAAUGUACCUUGGACGUUAUAUUACUUCAUAAACUUUUGCUAAGCAUGUAUAUUUUGUGA